rnacentral:rRNA from 1 species
CCGAAUAGGGGAGCCGAAGGGAAACCGAGUCUUAACUGGGCGUUAAGUUGCAGGGUAUAGACCCGAAACCCGGUGAUCUAGCCAUGGGCAGGUUGAAGGUUGGGUAACACUAACUGGAGGACCGAACCGACUAAUGUUGAAAAAUUAGCGGAUGACUUGUGGCUGGGGGUGAAAGGCCAAUCAAACCGGGAGAUAGCUGGUUCUCCCCGAAAGCUAUUUAGGUAGCGCCUCGUGAAUUCAUCUCCGGGGGUAGAGCACUGUUUCGGCAAGGGGGUCAUCCCGACUUACCAACCCGAUGCAAACUGCGAAUACCGGAGAAUGUUAUCACGGGAGACACACGGCGGGUGCUAACGUCCGUCGUGAAGAGGGAAACAACCCAGACCGCCAGCUAAGGUCCCAAAGUCAUGGUUAAGUGGGAAACGAUGUGGGAAGGCCCAGACAGCCAGGAUGUUGGCUUAGAAGCAGCCAUCAUUUAAAGAAAGCGUAAUAGCUCACUGGUCGAGUCGGCCUGCGCGGAAGAUGUAACGGGGCUAAACCAUGCACCGAAGCUGCGGCAGCGACACUGUGUGUUGUUGGGUAGGGGAGCGUUCUGUAAGCCUGUGAAGGUGUGCUGUGAGGCAUGCUGGAGGUAUCAGAAGUGCGAAUGCUGACAUAAGUAACGAUAAAGCGGGUGAAAAGCCCGCUCGCCGGAAGACCAAGGGUUCCUGUCCAACGUUAAUCGGGGCAGGGUGAGUCGACCCCUAAGGCGAGGCCGAAAGGCGUAGUCGAUGGGAAACAGGUUAAUAUUCCUGUACUUGGUGUUACUGCGAAGGGGGGACGGAGAAGGCUAUGUUGGCCGGGCGACGGUUGUCCCGGUUUAAGCGUGUAGGCUGGUUUUCCAGGCAAAUCCGGAAAAUCAAGGCUGAGGCGUGAUGACGAGGCACUACGGUGCUGAAGCAACAAAUGCCCUGCUUCCAGGAAAAGCCUCUAAGCAUCAGGUAACAUCAAAUCGUACCCCAAACCGACACAGGUGGUCAGGUAGAGAAUACCAAGGCGCUUGAGAGAACUCGGGUGAAGGAACUAGGCAAAAUGGUGCCGUAACUUCGGGAGAAGGCACGCUGAUAUGUAGGUGAAGUCCCUCGCGGAUGGAGCUGAAAUCAGUCGAAGAUACCAGCUGGCUGCAACUGUUUAUUAAAAACACAGCACUGUGCAAACACGAAAGUGGACGUAUACGGUGUGACGCCUGCCCGGUGCCGGAAGGUUAAUUGAUGGGGUCAGCGCAAGCGAAGCUCUUGAUCGAAGCCCCGGUAAACGGCGGCCGUAACUAUAACGGUCCUAAGGUAGCGAAAUUCCUUGUCGGGUAAGUUCCGACCUGCACGAAUGGCGUAAUGAUGGCCAGGCUGUCUCCACCCGAGACUCAGUGAAAUUGAACUCGCUGUGAAGAUGCAGUGUACCCGCGGCAAGACGGAAAGACCCCGUGAACCUUUACUAUAGCUUGACACUGAACAUUGAGCCUUGAUGUGUAGGAUAGGUGGGAGGCUUUGAAGUGUGGACGCCAGUCUGCAUGGAGCCGACCUUGAAAUACCACCCUUUAAUGUUUGAUGUUCUAACGUGGACCCGUGAUCCGGGUUGCGGACAGUGUCUGGUGGGUAGUUUGACUGGGGCGGUCUCCUCCUAAAGAGUAACGGAGGAGCACGAAGGUUGGCUAAUCCUGGUCGGACAUCAGGAGGUUAGUGCAAUGGCAUAAGCCAGCUUGACUGCGAGCGUGACGGCGCGAGCAGGUGCGAAAGCAGGUCAUAGUGAUCCGGUGGUUCUGAAUGGAAGGGCCAUCGCUCAACGGAUAAAAGGUACUCCGGGGAUAACAGGCUGAUACCGCCCAAGAGUUCAUAUCGACGGCGGUGUUUGGCACCUCGAUGUCGGCUCAUCACAUCCUGGGGCUGAAGUAGGUCCCAAGGGUAUGGCUGUUCGCCAUUUAAAGUGGUACGCGAGCUGGGUUUAGAACGUCGUGAGACAGUUCGGUCCCUAUCUGCCGUGGGCGCUGGAGAACUGAGGGGGGCUGCUCCUAGUACGAGAGGACCGGAGUGGACGCAUCACUGGUGUUCGGGUUGUCAUGCCAAUGGCACUGCCCGGUAGCUAAAUGCGGAAGAGAUAAGUGCUGAAAGCAUCUAAGCACGAAACUUGCCCCGAGAUGAGUUCUCCCUGACCCUUUAAGGGUCCUGAAGGAACGUUGAAGACGACGACGUUGAUAGGCCGGGUGUGUAAGCGCAGCGAUGCGUUGAGCUAACCGGUACUAAUGAACCGUGAGGCUUAACCUUACAACGCCGAAGGUGUUU